UUUCCUACGGGGGGCAGCAGUGGGGAAUAUUGCACAAUGGGGGAAACCCUGAUGCAGCGACGCCGCGUGAGUGAGGAAGUAUUUCGGUAUGUAAAGCUCUAUCAGCAGGGAAGAAAAUGACGGUACCUGACUAAGAAGCCCCGGCUAACUACGUGCCAGCAGCCGCGGUAAUACGUAGGGGGCAAGCGUUAUCCGGAUUUACUGGGUGUAAAGGGUGCGUAGGUGGCAGGGCAAGUCAGAUGUGAAAGCCCGGGGCCCAACGCCGGUACUGCAUUUGAAACGGUCCGGCUGG
rnacentral:rRNA from 1 species